UACGGAGGGGGCUAGCGUUGUUCGGAAUUACUGGGCGUAAAGCGCACGUAGGCGGCUUUGUAAGUUAGAGGUGAAAGCCCGGAGCUCAACUCCGGAACUGCCUUUAAGACUGCAUCGCUUGAAUCAUGGAGAGGUCAGUGGAAUUCCGAGUGUAGAGGUGAAAUUCGUAGAUAUUCGGAAGAACACCAGUGGCGAAGGCGACUGACUGGACAUGUAUUGACGCUGAGGUGCGAAAGCGUGGGGAGCGAACAGG
rnacentral:rRNA from 1 species